rnacentral:tRNA from 1 species
UCUCUGUUAGUAUAUCGGUUAGUACACGCGCCUGUCAGACUGGGGUGUUGAACCCCGGAUGCAAACGCGCGAAAGCGGGGUUCGACUCCCCGACAGAGAG